CCUACGGGGGGCUGCAGUGGGGAAUUUUGGACAAUGGGGGCAACCCUGAUCCAGCCAUUCCGCGUGAGUGAAGAAGGCCUUCGGGUUGUAAAGCUCUUUCGGCAGGAACGAAACGACGGGCUCUAACAUAGCCUGUCAAUGACGGUACCUGAAGAAGAAGCACCGGCUAACUACGUGCCAGCAGCCGCGGUAAUACGUAGGGUGCGAGCGUUAAUCGGAAUUUGUGGGCGUACAGCUUGCAGAGGCGGCUGAAAGCCCCGGGCUUAACCUGGGAACUGCGCUGGUGACUGCAAGGCUCGAGUGCGGCAGAGGGGGGUGGAAUUCCACGUGUAGCAGUGAAAUGCGUAGAGAUGUGGAGGAACACCGAUGGCGAAGGCAGCCCCCUGGGUCGACACUGACGCUCAUGCACGAAAGCGUGGGUAGCAAACAGGAGUAGAUACCCCGGUAGUC
rnacentral:rRNA from 1 species